UACGGAGGGGGCUAGGGUUGUUCGGAAUUACUGGGCGUAAAGCGGGUGUAGGCGGAUUGCUAAGUCGGGGGUGAAAGCCCAGGGCUCAACCCUGGAAUUGCCUUCGAUACUGGCAGUCUCGAGUGCAGGAGAGGUGAGCGGAAUUCCGAGUGUAGAGGUGAAAUUCGUAGAUAUUCGGAGGAACACCAGAGGCGAAGGCGGCUCACUGGACUGUUACUGACGAUGAGACCCGAAAGCGUGGGGAGCAAACAGG
rnacentral:rRNA from 1 species